rnacentral:lncRNA from 1 species
ACGUUUCAACCACCCCUGAAUCUAAAAACAUGACGUUGAAAACGUGAGUAUAAACUUAGUGAGUGAACAUAGAAAUGGAACAAGCAAUUACAAGGAAUGAUUUAGAAAUCAUGAUGCACUUAAGUUCGAAAAUAGUGCAACCUAGUUCAAGUUCUUAUUAAAAUCCUUCCAUCAACCUCGAGUUAUUAAAUCAUUUCAUAAUGAAGGAACCAUAUUUAGCAGGAAAUCGAAAAGAGAGGAAAUUUUCAGCAAUCAUCCAAGCAAGGCAGUAUAAACAGAAUGUUCUUGUUGCAAUAAAAUCAAUUCACAUGUAAAUGGGAAAUUUCAAGAUUUAUCAUGCCAUAUAAUCACAUAUUAUAAUCAUAAUCUUUCUAUUGCAUAUACAUAUGCUUAAGCAUAUAUCAAUUAAUAUACCAUCACACCUCAUCUUGCUUAUGUACAUCAUCACCGACAUGUGCACUGCCCACUCCGCACAUGCACGCUUGUAAUUAUCACGACAGCAUCAUUACCGGCAUGUGCACUGCCCACUCCGCACAUGCACGGUUGCAUUUAUCACACAAUGGUUCCAUGUAUGACAUAGUAUAUAUAUAUAUCAUUAUACAAAAACAUAUGAAUUCAUCACACUAUCCAUUUCAUAACAUAAAAACAUUUCAUAAGGGCUUGUGCCCGUGCAAGUUUUUGAAGAAAAACCAAUAAAAUGUUUUAGAGGAUUCAAUCAAACAUAAACGUGCAUAUCCCAAGACAUUUUAAUGCAAGUUCACUCACCUGGCAAGAAUGAGAUUUUAAGUCGCUAUUUGUUCGGAGGUGUCUCUAACUAUUUUUACUGGUCGAUCGCUCGCUAUUUACUCUAGCAUGCCACCACAAUUCUUUAACUUUAUCUUUGCACUUCCUAGCAAUAAUACGAACUCAAUAUAUUUAAUUACAUAUGUAUACAGGCAGCACUUCAAUCAAUUAAUCCUUACUCAAAUUUAUAUUUUAUUCCUAUCAUUAAACCAUCUUUAAUUAACUCACAUCUUAAUACAUUUUUACCAAAAUUACUUACAUCCAUUGCUUACGAAAUUCCUUAGAUUAUAUCACCGGCAACUUAUUUAUGAUGUCAUGUGCUUACUUCAACCUUUCUAAAUAAUUUUUGCUCAAAUCCAUCUUAUAUUUCCACACAUAAUCCACAUAUAUGGCAGCAACAAUUAUUCUCACUUUCACUUGAUUAUUUCCUAGUUUACACGCAUCGUUAUCUAUCUAACUUUCAAUAUUUUGUUUCUCAAUCCUCCAUCCACAAUAUUCAUUUUUUAUUUCUUUCAAACAACAUGCCAUGCAAUCUUAACAAUUUUCAACUAGCUUAGGCAAAUAAAUCCUUUCAACAACCAUAAUUUCUCACAAUAUUCAACUAAUCAUAGGCUUUAAAACAUAAUGUUAAGCUUACCGUUUUCCUUUUCCACUUUGAGUCCUUCAUGUACCCAUGGGUUUCUUGGCUUACAUGUUACCAAUUUUUCUCCAAUCAAGCCAAUCUUUGCUGCCACAAGACAUUUCUCUAAGUCACUAACUCAUUUUCAAAGACUACUCAAGCCAAAAACAAGAAUUCUUAUUGUUCCUUGCUUGAAUCACCAAAACCAAGCUUUUUCUUCCUUUCUCUCUUUUUCUUUCUUCUCUUCCUAGGGUUUUGGUGUGCUGGAAAUUGGGGUUAAAGGCUGUAAAUUUAAUGCUCAAGAAGUUUGGAGAAAAAAGGAAAAGAAAACAUGGAAAGGAAAGUGAAGAAAACUUGAUUUCAUGGUGGAUAAAGAGAAAAUGGCAUAGAAGCUUCAAGAAUGGCGUGGAGCAUGGAUGAAGAAGAAGAAAAAUCUG